rnacentral:rRNA from 1 species
UGGCGGACGGGUGAGUAAUGCAUAGGAAUCUGCCCGAUAGUGGGGGAUAACCUGGGGAAACCCAGGCUAAUACCGCAUACGUCCUACGGGAGAAAGGGGGCUUCGGCUCCCGCUAUUGGAUGAGCCUAUGUCGGAUUAGCUAGUUGGUGAGGUAAUGGCUCACCAAGGCAACGAUCCGUAGCUGGUCUGAGAGGAUGAUCAGCCACAUCGGGACUGAGACACGGCCCGAACUCCUACGGGAGGCAGCAGUGGGGAAUAUUGGACAAUGGGGGCAACCCUGAUCCAGCCAUGCCGCGUGUGUGAAGAAGGCCCUCGGGUUGUAAAGCACUUUCAGCGAGGAAGAACGCCUAUCGGUUAAUACCCGGUAGGAAAGACAUCACUCGCAGAAGAAGCACCGGCUAACUCCGUGCCAGCAGCCGCGGUAAUACGGAGGGUGCAAGCGUUAAUCGGAAUUACUGGGCGUAAAGCGCGCGUAGGUGGCUUGAUAAGCCGGUUGUGAAAGCCCCGGGCUCAACCUGGGAACGGCAUCCGGAACUGUCAGGCUAGAGUGCAGGAGAGGAAGGUAGAAUUCCCGGUGUAGCGGUGAAAUGCGUAGAGAUCGGGAGGAAUACCAGUGGCGAAGGCGGCCUUCUGGACUGACACUGACACUGAGGUGCGAAAGCGUGGGUAGCAAACAGGAUUAGAUACCCUGGUAGUCCACGCCGUAAACGAUGUCGACCAGCCGUUGGGUGCCUAGAGCACUUUGUGGCGAAGUUAACGCGAU